CGGCGAGUGAAGCGGCAACAGCUCAAAUUUGAAAUCUUGGCACUUGUGCCCGAGUUGUAAUUUGUAGAGGAUGCUUUUGGCGACGCGCCUUCCGAGUUCCCUGGAACGGGACGCCAUAGAGGGUGAGAGCCCCGUCCGGUCGUGCGCCUAGCCUCUGUAAAGCUCCUUCGACGAGUCGAGUAGUUUGGGAAUGCUGCUCUAAAUGGGAGGUAUACGUCUUCUAAAGCUAAAUACCGGCCAGAGACCGAUAGCGCACAAGUAGAGUGAUCGAAAGAUGAAAAGCACUUUGAAAAGAGGGUUAAAUAGUACGUGAAAUUGCUGAAAGGGAAGCGCUUAUGACCAGACUUGGGCGCGGCGGAUCAUCCGGCGUUCUCGCCGGUGCACUCCACCGCCCCAGGCCAGCAUCAGUUCGCGCCGGGGGACAAAGGCUUCGGGAAUGUGGCUCCCUCGGGAGUGUUAUAGCCCGUUGCGUAAUACCCUGGUGCGGACUGAGGUCCGCGCUCUGCAAGGAUGCUGGCGUAAUGGUCAUCAGUGACCCGUCUUGAAACACGGACCAAGGAGUCGUCUUCGUAUGCGAGUGUUCGGGUGUCAAACCCCUACGCGGAAUGAAAGUGAACGUAGGAGAGAGCUUCGGCGCAUCUCCGACCGAUCCUGAUGUUCUCGGAUGGAUUUGAGUAAGAGCAUACGGGGCCGGACCCGAAAGAAGGUGAACUAUGCCUGUGUAGGGUGAAGCCAGAGGAAACUCUGGUGGAGGCUCGCAGCGGUUCUGACGUGCAAAUCGAUCGUCAAACAUGGGCAUGGGGGC
rnacentral:rRNA from 1 species